AACGAACGCUGGCGGCGCGUCUUAAGCAUGCAAGUCGGACGGCAAGGGUUGUGCUUGCACAACUCCUAGAGUGGCGGACUGGUGAGUAACGCGUGGGUGACCUGCCCUCGAGAUGGGGAUAGCCAUUAGAAAUAGUGGAUAAUACCGAAUACGCUCAUGACCCUGUGGGGAUAUGAGGAAACAGGCUACGGCCUGGCUCGAGGAUGGGCCCGCGUCCCAUUAGCUAGUUGGUGAGGUAACGGCCCACCAAGGCGACGAUGGGUAUCCGGCCUGAGAGGGUGUACGGACACAUUGGGACUGAGAUACGGCCCAAACUCCUACGGGAGGCAGCAGCUAAGAAUAUUCCGCAAUGGACGAAAGUCUGACGGAGCGACGCCGCGUGGAUGAAGAAAGGCCGGAAGGUUGUAAAAUCCUUUUGCUGAUGAAGAAUAAGUGUGGUAGGGAAUGACCGCAUGAUGACAUUAGUCGGUGAAUAAGCCCCGGCUAACUACGUGCCAGCCGCGGC
rnacentral:rRNA from 1 species